GGUUAAGUGAAUAAGGGCGCACGGUGGAUGCCUUGGCACUAGAAGCCGAUGAAGGACGGGACUAACUCCGAUAUGCUUUGGGGAGCUGUAAGUAAGCUAUGAUCCAGAGAUUUCCGAAUGGGGGAACCCAGCAUCUUUUAUAGGAUGUUACUUUCAAGUGAAUACAUAGCUUGUUAGAGGUAGACGCAGAGAACUGAAACAUCUAAGUACCUGCAGGAAGAGAAAGAAAAUUCGAUUUCCUUAGUAGCGGCGAGCGAAACGGAAACAGCCCAAACCAAGAAGCUUGCUUCUUGGGGUUGUAGGACUCAGCUGUGGUAGCUGUUGUGGAUAGUUGAAUCGAUCUGGAAAGAUCAGCCGGAGCGGGUAAAAGCCCCGUAGACGAAAUCGACAACACACCUAUGAGUAUCCUGAGUACGGCGGAACACGAGAAAUUCCGUCGGAAUCCGGGAGGACCAUCUCCCAAGGCUAAAUACUCUCUAGUGACCGAUAGUGAACCAGUACCGUGAGGGAAAGGUGAAAAGCACCCCGGAAGGGGAGUGAAAUAGAACCUGAAACCGUGUGCCUACAACAAGUCAGAGCCCGUUAAUGGGUGAUGGCGUGCCUUUUGCAGAAUGAACCGGCGAGUUACGAUUGCAUGCGAGGUUAAGCUGAAGAAGCGGAGCCGUAGCGAAAGCGAGUCUGAAUAGGGCGAGUGAGUAUGUAGUCGUAGACCCGAAACCAUGUGACCUACCCAUGUCCAGGUUGAAGGUGCGGUAAAACGCACUGGAGGACCGAACCCACGUACGUUGAAAAGUGCGGGGAUGAGGUGUGGGUAGCGGAGAAAUUCCAAACGAACUUGGAGAUAGCUGGUUCUCUCCGAAAUAGCUUUAGGGCUAGCCUCGGAAUUAAGAAUGAUGGAGGUAGAGCACUGUUUGGACUAGGGGCCCGUCUUGGGUUACCGAAUUCAGAUAAACUCCGAAUGCCAUUCAUUUAUGUCCGGGAGUCAGACAGUGAGUGAUAAGAUCCAUUGUCGAAAGGGAAACAGCCCAGACCACCAGCUAAGGUCCCCAAAUAUAUGUUAAGUGGAAAAGGAUGUGAGGGUGCACAAACAACUAGGAUGUUGGCUCAGAAGCAGCCAUCAUUUAAAGAGUGCGUAAUAGCUCACUAGUCGAGUGCCCUUGCGCCGAAAAUGUACCGGGGCUAAACAUAUUACCGAAGCUGUGGAUAGAACCUUUUGGUUCUAUGGUAGGAGAGCGUUCUAAGGGCGUCGAAGCUAGAUCGUAAGGACUGGUGGAGCGCUUAGAAGUGAGAAUGCCGGUAUGAGUAGCGAAAGACAGGUGAGAAUCCUGUCCACCGAAUGACUAAGGUUUCCUGGGGAAGGCUCGUCCUCCCAGGGUUAGUCGGGACCUAAGCCGAGGCCGAUAGGCGUAGGCGAUGGAUAACAGGUUGAGAUUCCUGUACCCGUUUGUUUUGUUUGAACAAUGGAGGGACGCAGUAGGUUACAAGUUCGCACUGUUGGAUAUGUGCGUUCAAGCAAUAAGUCUUGAUAAGAGUCAAAUGCUUUUAUCUCUAAGGACAAGUUGUGAUGAGGAGGGAAAUUUAGUACCGAAGUCUUAAUAUCACACUGCCAAGAAAAGCUUCUAGUUAGAAACAAACGGCCCGUACCGCAAACCGACACAGGUAGUCGAGGAGAGAAUCCUAAGGUGAGCGAGAGAACUCUCGUUAAGGAACUCGGCAAAAUGACCCCGUAACUUAGGGAGAAGGGGUGCUGAACGCAAGUUCAGCCGCAGUGAAUAGGCCCAAGCGACUGUUUAUCAAAAACACAGGUCUCUGCAAAAUCGAAAGAUGACGUAUAGGGGCUGACGCCUGCCCGGUGCUGGAAGGUUAAGAGGAUGGGUUAGC
rnacentral:rRNA from 1 species